AUUGAACGCUGGCGGCAGGCCUAACACAUGCAAGUCGAACGAGUGGCGGACGGGUGAGUAAUGUCUGGGAAACUGCCCGAUGGAGGGGGAUAACUACUGGAAACGGUCGCUAAUACCGCAUACCAUCGGAUGAGCCCAGAUGGGAUUAGCUAGUAGGUGGGGUAACGGCUCACCUAGGCGACGAUCCCUAGCUGGUCUGAGAGGAUGACCAGACACACUGGAACGUAGACACGGUCCAGACUCCUACGGGAGGCAGCAGUGGGGAAUAUUGCACAAUGGGCGCAAGCCUGAUGCAGCCAUGCCGCGUGUAUGAAGAAGGCCUUCGGGUUGUAAAGUACUUUCAGCGAGGAGGCGUUACUCGCAGAAGAAGCACCGGCUAACGCCGUGCCAGCAGCCGCGGUAAUUC
rnacentral:rRNA from 1 species